GGGUGAGAAGCUCAACGGCUGAGCAGUGGACUCUUAAUCCAUUGGUUCUAGGUUCGAAUCCUAGGUCACCCA
rnacentral:tRNA from 2 species